GUUGGAAUUUAGCAGCGAACGCGAUGUGAUCGAAGCGGAACUGAACAACAGCCUCCUUAUCCUGAUAUUACGGAGCCUUCGCCGCUGGAUCGCACCAAGGACCCGGCCAGAAAAUUGCAUUUAGCUCGUGCUUAACUAGAGGCCCACUAACCAAAUUAGUCGAUAAGAAAAGCUUUAGUAAUACUAGCUCUAAUCCCAUAUUUGUAUGUAGUUUGGCUCUUAGUUGAUCUAUGUUAUGCUUGUGCUUAUUAUUAUUAUUAUUAUUCAAUUCGCACUUUAAAUAAAAUGCUUUGAGUUUUGCCAAUUUUGAUUUGCGCUUUUUAAUAUUUGAGCUAAUCGAUCAAACAUGAGGAGGAGUAGCAGCUACUGGAUCGACGCACCAAUAUGUUUCUUAACAGGCCAAUAAUGGUGUACAGCGGAUAUACCGGGCGAGUCCUGAGUGGCACGGAAAACAGAUCAACACACAUAUAUCCAUACACUGUCACUACUGGAAUAUAAUAUAAUAAUUGACUUUAAGCUUGAUGAAUAGGCGAUUGUUGUCCGACGAUGUUCGUAGAUGUCAGCCAUAAGAUAUUUCCAUAGACACGCAGGCAGCGAAGGAGCAGGAGGAGCAGGACACCCGUAUAGCAGCAGCCACGAUUGAGUUGCUAGCUUCGCCAGACACCAGGCCGGACUUCGAGGGGGAUGAGGACCUAAAGGAUACUGGCUCAGAAUACUCGAAAGUAGGCUGUUACCGCACAAGGGUAUCUCAAGAGAAAUAAAAACAUGAAAAUAAAUGCAAACUUACGGACGCAGCACGUUUUAAAAAAGCACUCAAUCACCACUAAUUUUUAAAUUAGUUUCUAUGAUCAUAUUCACCUUAUUUAAAAAUCUGUAAAAUACAAUGUUAAGUUACCAAUAAAUUGUACUUUGUUAUU